CCCAGACUCCUACGGGAGGCAGCAGUGGGGAAUAUUGCACAAUGGGCGAAGGCCUGAUGCAGCAACGCCGCGUGAAGGAAGAAGGGUUUCGGCUCGUAAACUUCUAUCAACAGGGACGAAAGAAAUGACAGUACCUGAGUAAGAAGCCCCGGCUAACUACGUGCCAGCAGCCGCGGUAAUACGUAGGGGGCAAGCGUUAUCCGGAUUUACUGGGUGUAAAGGGAGCGUAGACGGAUGGAUAAGUCUGAAGUGAAAGCCCGCGGCUCAACUGCGGGACUGCUUUGGAAACUGUGCAUCUUGAGUACGGGAGGGGCAGGCGGAAUCCCUGGUGUAGCGGUGAAAUGCGUAGAUAUCAGGAGGAACACCGGCGGCGAAGACGGCCUGCUGGACCGAAACUGACGUUGAGGCUCGAAAGCGUGGGGAGCAAACAGGAUUAGAUACCCCAGUAG
rnacentral:rRNA from 1 species